rnacentral:tRNA from 1 species
GGUUGUGGCUCAGUGGUAAGAGUGCUCUCCUAGCACACGUGAGGCGCUGGGUUCAAUCCUCAGCACCA